GACGAACGCUGGCGGCGUGCCUAAUACAUGCAAGUCGAGCGGACGAUUGAAGAGCUUGCUCUUCAAUCGUUAGCGGCGGACGGGUGAGUAACACGUGGGCAACCUGCCUUAACGACUGGGAUAACUCCGGGAAACCGGGGCUAAUACCGGAUAACAUCUAGCACCUCCUGGUGCCAGAUUAAAAGAGGGCCUCUGGCUCUCACGUUAAGAUGGGCCCGCGGCGCAUUAGCUAGUUGGAGAGGUAACGGCUCCCCAAGGCGACGAUGCGUAGCCGACCUGAGAGGGUGAUCGGCCACACUGGGACUGAGACACGGCCCAGACUCCUACGGGAGGCAGCAGUAGGGAAUCUUCCGCAAUGGACGAAAGUCUGACGGAGCAACGCCGCGUGAGUGAUGAAGGGUUUCGGCUCGUAAAGCUCUGUUAUGUGGGAAGAACAAGUGCCAUUCAAAUAGGUUGGCACCUUGACGGUACCUCAUCAGAAAGCCACGGCUAACUACGUGCCAGCCGCCGCCGUAA
rnacentral:rRNA from 1 species